rnacentral:rRNA from 1 species
UGAUAUUACCUUAUUAUUAGUGUCGUCCAAAACUGGUGCCAGAAGACUCGGUAAGGCCAGAGACACAAACGUUAAUCGUCUUAAUCAGGCGUAAAGGGUUUGUAGGCGGCUUUAAAAUUUACUUAUACAAAAAAAAAAAUAAUAAGUUAAAAAAUAAAAGCUAGAAUCAAAUAGAGGAUAUAUGAAAGAAUACUUAGAGUAGGUCUGAUAUCCUUAGAUACUAAGUAGAAUAUUAAAGGCGAAAGCUUUUUUCCAUUAAUGAUUGACGCUCAGAAACGAAGGUGAGGAUAGGAAAUAGGAUUAGAUACCCAGAAUACCCCUCUCUGUCAACGAUGAAUGGUAGUUAUUAGUAAAAAUUUUAUUAAUGGCAAUGUUAACACGAUAACCAUUCCGCCUUGUGAGUACAAUUGCAAAAUUGAAAACAAAAAAA